GAUGAACGCUGGCGGCGUGCCUAAUACAUGCAAGUCGAGCGCACAGACGAGGAGCUUGCUCCUCUGACGUUAGCGGCGGACGGGUGAGUAACACGUGGAUAACCUACCUAUAAGACUGGGAUAACUUCGGGAAACCGGAGCUAAUACCGGAUAAUAUAUUGAACCGCAUGGUUCAAUAGUGAAAGACGGUUUUGCUGUCACUUAUAGAUGGAUCCGCGCCGCAUUAGCUAGUUGGUAAGGUAACGGCUUACCAAGGCGACGAUGCGUAGCCGACCUGAGAGGGUGAUCGGCCACACUGGAACUGAGACACGGUCCAGACUCCUACGGGAGGCAGCAGUAGGGAAUCUUCCGCAAUGGGCGAAAGCCUGACGGAGCAACGCCGCGUGAGUGAUGAAGGUCUUCGGAUCGUAAAACUCUGUUAUUAGGGAAGAACAAGUGUGUAAGUAACUAUGCACGUCUUGACGGUACCUAAUCAGAAAGCCACGGCUAACUACGUG
rnacentral:rRNA from 1 species